AUGGCUCACGGGCCCGGCGUGCUGAUGCUUAAGUGCGUGGUGGUCGGCGAUGGGGCGGUGGGCAAGACGUGCCUACUCAUGAGCUAUGCCAACGACGCCUUCCCGGAGGAGUACGUGCCCACUGUCUUCAACACUACGCAGUCAGCGUCACCGUGGGGGGCAAGCAGUACCUCCUAGGACUCUAUGACACGGCCGGACAGGAAGACUAUGACCGUCUGAGGCCUUUAUCUUACCCAAUGACCGAUGUCUUCCUUAUAUGCUUCUCGGUGGUAAAUCCAGCCUCAUUUCAAAAUGUGAAAGAGAAGUGGGUACCGGAACUUAAGGAAUACACACCAAAUGUACCCUUUUUAUUAAUAGGAACUCAGAUUGAUCUCCGAGAUGACCCCAAAACUUUAGCAAGACUGAAUGAUAUGAAAGAAAACCUAUAUGUGUGGAACAAGGACAGAAACUAGCAAAAGAGAUAGGAGCAUGCUGCUAUGUGGAAUGUUCAGCUUUAACCCAGAAGGGAUUGAAGACUGUUUUUGAUGAGGCUAUCAUAGCCAUUUUUACUCCAAAGAAACACACUGUAAAAAAAAGAAUAGGAUCAAGAUGUAUAAACUGUUGUUUAAUUACGUGAGAAACAUCUUCAGUGGCCAAGGAAACUGUCCAUUUCUCUCAGAAAGCAAAUGAAAUGCUACAGCUAUACCCAGACCUUUUAUAGGUAAUGAAGCAGUUCAAAACUUGAAAGAAAACAAAACCUGUCCUCAGAAUUCUAUAAAGGUUAUUAAGAAUGUUCCUUAAAGGUUUAAGAAGCAGUAAGCAGCAUCUGAAGCCACAAUCUAUUAUAAAUACUCUAUUUCAACUAGAAGGUACAAUCUCUCAGGGGUUUCAUAGUUUAAAAAGCUACAAUCACAUCAUGUUGUAACUACAUAAAAAACAGUGCUGUAAAUGGA